rnacentral:ncRNA from 2 species
AUGACCCACAGGGGGAGCUGAUGAAGUCAGCUGAGAUUGCGCACGUAAUUGCGCUAACCCUUUGAACCUGUAAGUUAGUACUUGCGUAGGGAUGUGGAUAGAAACCGAC